rnacentral:misc_RNA from 1 species
AAGUCGUAACAAGGUAACCGUAGGUGAACCUGCGGUUGGAUCAUUAACAAAAUAAAUGAUGGGUCUUUUUUAAGACCUGUUAACACAAAGUUGAAUCCUGUAGUCUUUAAUGGGUUAAAAAGUUGUAAUUUCGACUGGCUUCAAAAGCUACCCAUUACUUUUAAACUCUUUUAAACAUUUUUACAAGUCACUUUAAAAUCUAUUAAAAAAUUUUAAACAACUUUUGACAACGGAUCUCUAGGCUCUC